UACGAAGGGGGCUAGCGUUGCUCGGAAUCACUGGGCGUAAAGGGUGCGUAGGCGGGGCUUUAAGUCAGGGGGGAAAUCCUGGAGCUCAACUCCAGAACUGCCUUUGAUACUGAAGAUCUUGAGUUCGGGAGAGGUGAGUGGAACUGCGAGUGUAGAGGUGAAAUUCGUAGAUAUUCGCAAGAACACCAGUGGCGAAGGCGGCUCACUGGUCCGAUACUGACGCUGAGGCACGAAAGCGUGGGGAGCAAACAGG
rnacentral:rRNA from 1 species